GAUGAACGCUGGCGGCGUGCCUAAUACAUGCAAGUCGAGCGAACAGACGAGGAGCUUGCUCCUCUGACGUUAGCGGCGGACGGGUGAGUAACACGUGGAUAACCUACCUAUAAGACUGGGAUAACUUCGGGAAACCGGAGCUAAUACCGGAUAAUAUAUUGAACCGCAUGGUUCAAUAGUGAAAGACGGUUUUGCUGUCACUUAUAGAUGGAUCCGCGCCGCAUUAGCUAGUUGGUAAGGUAACGGCUUACCAAGGCAACGAUGCGUAGCCGACCUGAGAGGGUGAUCGGCCACACUGGAACUGAGAAACGGUCCAGACUCCUACGGGAGGCAGCAGUAGGGAAUCUGCCGCAAUGGGCGAAAGCCUGACGGAGCAACGCCGCGUGAGUGAUGAAGGUCUGCGGAUCGUAAAACUCUGUUAUUAGGGAAGAACAAAUGUGUAAGUAACUAUGCACGUCUGGACGGUACCUAAUCAGAAAGCCACGGCUAACUACGU
rnacentral:rRNA from 1 species